AAUGGUGAUUUUUAAGAUCAAUUCUAUCAUUUUUCUGCAUUUAUUAAUUGUCACUCUUACACAAAGAGGAGUGUUAACUUACCUACUCUGUUUAAAUUAGAGUUUAACCUAAAGGAUUUGGUAAAUCUCUGUUUUGGCUCUUUAAUUUCCAAUUUUUGGAAUGAGGAUUUGAUGUGUAUGAGGAUUUGAUGAUAUGUUCUAAUGACAUGGAUGAAUCAGAAGUGAUGGUUGGAGAAUGGAAGUCUCUGGUUGAGACGUCAGUGAUGGUGCACUUUGUGGUCACAAAGUCUAUUAUGUGAUCAUGUGAGAAGGGAUUGGUUGUGGUGGAAAAGAAGGAAAGGGUGGCACAAACUGAGAGAUGAGGAUAUCGGCUUUUUGGCCACAUGGGUCUUGAAGUUCCUGAGAAUGGUGACAGGAGUUGAGAAAAGAUCAGGAACCAAGUUGAAAAAGAAGAAAACAUUGGGAAUUUAGUAGCUGACCAAAGGGCAAUGGUGGAUCUAAAUAGCACUUUAAAAGAUUGGGUUUUGAGAUGACAUAACAUGGAAGAAAUCACAAAUUUCUUGCAAGCUAUUCAAAUGGUGAUGCAUACACCUGGCCUUCCUUAUAAGUCAAUGUAAACAUUCUAUCAGUAUGUACAGUAAAAAGAAAUAGUAAAGCUAAUCAUGAAUGUGUAAGGUGGUUUUGGCUUUCAUUAUAUAACUUCAAGAAUCUGACUCUGUAUUAAAUUUAAUAUAUAUAUAAAAUAAAUUGAUUUUAUAUUCA